UCCAGACUCCUACGGGAGGCAGCAGUGAGGAAUAUUGGUCAAUGGGCGGGAGCCUGAACCAGCCAAGUCGCGUGAGGGAAGACGGUCCUAUGGAUUGUAAACCUCUUUAGGCGGGGAGCAAUGCCGGGCACGCGUGCCCGGAGGGAGAGUACCCGCAGAAUAAGCAUCGGCUAACUACGUGCCAGCAGCCGCGGUAAUACGUAGGGGGCAAGCGUUAUCCGGAUUUACUGGGUGUAAAGGGAGCGUAGACGGCGGUGCAAGCCAGAUGUGAAAGCCCGGGGCUCAACCCCGGGACUGCAUUUGGAACUGUGCUGCUAGAGUGUCGGAGAGGCAGGCGGAAUUCCUAGUGUAGCGGUGAAAUGCGUAGAUAUUAGGAGGAACACAAGUGGCGAAGGCGGCCUGCUGGACUGCAACUGACGUUGAGGCCCGAAAGCGUGGGGAGCAAACAGGAUUAGAUACCCGUGUACG
rnacentral:rRNA from 1 species